ensembl:antisense Gm14341 uncharacterized LOC110318611
ACGCCUGGCAGCCUGAAAAAUCGGCCGCAGCAGCUACAGCCAAGUCCAAGCCGUCAUCCCAGGAGCCACCCGAGGCUGGUGCGGGUCCGGAGAGCCACGCAGGACACCCGGACUCACCAGCUGCAGAGCGCAGAGCGCAAGAAGCGUGCAGCGGCCGGAGCAAGAGCCCAUGAAUCUCUCACAUUGCUGACUGAUGAGCAACAGGUCUGGGCCUCCCUGGGUCCCAGGGCAGAGAGAGAAUUUCAAGCACAAGUAUUGAGACCACCUCCAGUUCAGUGUAGAAUGGAGCUCAUACCAGCCAAUGAUGGUAAUUCCAUGAGUGAAUACGGGCACUAUACCAGAGCAAGGUAAGCGAGCUCUAAACCUGUGAAAGAAACUCCAACAGUGGAUGGAGAAAGGGAUCCAUUGCCCCUUGUGGUGACGCAGGUCCCAACUGUAUGGAUCUGAAUUUGACAAAAUGCCUCACGGUACGUUUCGAUGCAGGUACGUUUGAGUUGACCUCAAUAAAACAUUGACUUUUGGCCAAUUUGAAAGUCAAAUGAGCCGGGCUGCGAUGGCUCAAGACUUUAGAUCCACGAGGGAGGCAGAAGCAGGCGGAUCUUAGAGUUCGAAGCCAGCUCCAGGACAGCCAAGGUUACACAGAGAAACCCAGUCUCUAAAACAAAACAAAACAAAACAAA